ensembl:miRNA Mir6379 microRNA 6379
CCAGCAAACAGUUGGUUGAGUCAGGUCAAGGUCUAGCAGUGAAAGCUUUGGGAAAAAUGUCUUCCCUGGAGUUUUACAGCUAGAUAAGUCAGGCACCCUCAGAUACUCUUUGGUGA